AGCAGCCGCGGUAAUUCCAGCUCCAAUAGCGUAUAUUAAAGUUGUUGCAGUUAAAAAGCUCGUAGUUGAAUUUCGGGGUUAGUAGGUUGGUCAUGCCUCUGGUAUGUACUGGUCUCACUGAUUCCUCCUUCCUGAUGAGCCGUAAUGCCAUUAAUUUGGUGUUGCGGGGAAUUUGGACUGUUACUUUGAAAAAAUUAGAGUGUUUAAAGCAAGCUAACGCUUGAAUACAUUAGCAUGGAAUAAUGAAAUAGGACCUUCGAUCCUAUUUUGUUGGUUUCUAGGAUUGACGUAAUGAUUAAUAGGGAUAGUUGGGGGCAUUAGUAUUCAAUUGUCAGAGGUGAAAUUCUUGGAUUUAUUGAAGACUAACUACUGCGAAAGCAUUUGCCAAGGAUGUUUUCAUUAAUCAAGAACGAAAGUUAGGGGAUCGAAGACGAUCAGAUACCGUCGUAGUCUUAACCAUAAACUAUGCCGACUAGGGAUCGGAUGAUGUUAAUUUUUUAAUGACUCA
rnacentral:rRNA from 1 species